rnacentral:rRNA from 1 species
GAUGAACGCUGGCGGCGUGCUUAACACAUGCAAGUCGAACGGAAAGGCCCAAGCUUGCUUGGGUACUCGAGUGGCGAACGGGUGAGUAACACGUGGGUGAUCUGCCCUGCACUUCGGGAUAAGCCUGGGAAACUGGGUCUAAUACCGGAUAGGACGAUGGUUUGGAUGCCAUUGUGGAAAGUUUUUUCGGUGUGGGAUGAGCUCGCGGCCUAUCAGCUUGUUGGUGGGGUAAUGGCCUACCAAGGCGUCGACGGGUAGCCGGCCUGAGAGGGUGUACGGCCACAGUGGGACUGAGAUACGGCCCAGACUCCGACGGGAGGCAGCAGUGGGGAAUAUUGCACAAUGGGCGCAAGCCUGAGGCAGCGACGCCGCGUGGGGGAUGACGGCCUUCGGGUUGUAAACUCCUUUCGCUAGGGACGAAGCGUUUUUGUGACGGUACCUGGAGAAGAAGCACCGGCUAACUACGUG